GAGUUUGAUCAUGGCUCAGAAUCAACGCUGGCGGCGCGCUUAACACAUGCAAGUCGGACGAGAAAGUGGAGCAAUCCAUGAGUACAGUGGCGUACGGGUGAGUAACACGUGGGUAAUCUGCCUUUUAGUGGGGAAUAACCCUGGGAAACCGGGGCUAAUACCGCAUAAUCUCGAGAGAGGAAAGUCGCAAGACGCUGAAAGAGGAGCCCGCGGCCGAUUAGCUAGUUGGUGGGGUAAAGGCCCACCAAGGCAGAGAUCGGUAGCCGGCCUGAGAGGGCACACGGCCACACUGGCACUGAAACACGGGCCAGACUCCUACGGGAGGCAGCAGUGGGGAAUCUUGCACAAUGGGGGAAACCCUGAUGCAGCGACGCCGCGUGAGCGAUGAAGCCCUUCGGGGUGUAAAGCUCUUUCGGCAGGGAAGAUGAUGACGGUACCUGCAGAAGCAGCUGCGGCUAACUACGUGCCAGCAGCCGCGGUAAUACGUAGGCAGCGAGCGUUGUUCGGAGUUACUGGGCGUAAAGGGUGUGUAGGCGGUUCUUUAAGUUUGGUGUGAAAUCUCCCGGCUUAACCGGGAGGGUGCGCCGAAUACUGAGGGACUCGAGUGCGGGAGAGGAAAGUGGAAUUCCUGGUGUAGCGGUGAAAUGCGUAGAUAUCAGGAGGAACACCGGUGGUGUAGACGGCUUUCUGGACCGUAACUGACGCUGAGACACGAAAGCGUGGGUAGCAAACAGGAUUAGAUACCCUGGUAGUCCACGCCCUAAACGAUGCAUAUUUGGUGUGGGUCAUUCAGUUGAUCCGUGCCGGAGCUAACGCGUUAAAUAUGCCGCCUGGGGAGUACAGUCGCAAGGCUGAAACUCAAAGGAAUUGACGGGGGCCCGCACAAGCGGUGGAGCAUGUGGUUCAAUUCGACGCAACGCGAAGAACCUUACCUGGGCUCGAACGGGUAGUCAACGGCGGUGGAAACAUCGCUACCCCGCAAGGGGGUCUAUUC
rnacentral:rRNA from 1 species